rnacentral:rRNA from 1 species
GAGUUUGAUCUUGGCUCAGAUUGAACGCUGGCGGCAUGCCUUACACAUGCAAGUCGAACGGCAGCAUGAUCUAGCUUGCUAGAUUGAUGGCGAGUGGCGAACGGGUGAGUAAUACAUCGGAACGUGCCCUGUAGUGGGGGAUAACUAGUCGAAAGAUUAGCUAAUACCGCAUACGACCUGAGGGUGAAAGUGGGGGACCGCAAGGCCUCAUGCUAUAGGAGCGGCCGAUGUCUGAUUAGCUAGUUGGUGGGGUAAAGGCCCACCAAGGCGACGAUCAGUAGCUGGUCUGAGAGGACGAGUCAGCCACACUGGGACUGAGACACGGCCCAGACUCCUACGGGAGGCA